ACUUUUUGUCUUUUAAUUUUUUUUUCUUCCUUUACAUAUUGAGCAAACUUACAUCUGACUGAAGUCCUUUCUUUACCUUCUAUCUUUCUUCACCUCCUUAAAUCGUCCAUCAUGAGCAGAAGUGGGAAAUCCAAAAUGGCGCAAGAAUGAGUGUGUCAUUUUCAAACGGCCUGCUAACUCUGAACAUCUGGUCCUACAGGGAGGAGGGGGACCCUGUCAAUGGGAGCCCUUGUCCCCCCUGUCAACGCCACGAGAACAGCCCGCCACAAGGUGAACAAGGAGGCAUGUGUGUGUUUUUCAAUGUGUGUUUAUGGACUGACGCUGUCUAUACUGGAAUGAUGUUUAACAGGCAUCGUUAAGACUCACACAUUUGUGGAAGGAGCUACUGUAAUUUGAUUUUUCUUCAAUCUGCCCUCAAAAUAAGUGGCCAAAUGUGUGUAUCAGGUGUUCUUUCAGCUUGACAAUAUCCACCUUAUUGUAAAAAAAA